GAUGAACGCUAGCGGCAGGCUUAACACAUGCAAGUCGAGGGGUAUAGUUCUUCGGAAUUAGAGACCGGCGCACGGGUGCGUAACGCGUAUGCAAUCUACCUUUCACAGAGGGAUAGCCCCAGAGAAAUUUGAAUUAAUACCUCAUAGUAUAGCAGUUUCGCAUGAAACCACUAUUAAAGUCACAACGGUGAAAGAUGAGCAUGCGUCCCAUUAGCUAGUUGGUAAGGUAACGGCUUACCAAGGCAACGAUGGGUAGGGGUCCUGAGAGGGAGAUCCCCCACACUGGUACUGAGACACGUACCAGACUCCUACGGGAGGCAGCAGUGAGGAAUAUUGGACAAUGGGCGCAAGCCUGAUCCAGCCAUGCCGCGUGCAGGAUGACGGUCCUAUGGAUUGUAAACUGCUUUAUACAGGAAGAAACACUACUUCGUGAAGUAGCUUGACGGUACUGUAAGAAUAAGGAUCGGCUAACUCCGUGCCAGCAGCCG
rnacentral:rRNA from 1 species